AUUUUAAUUGAAUGGAUCUCUCGAUCUUAAAAUUGAUUUACACUCUUAACCUUUUUUCGUUUUGGUAUAAUGUAAAAACUUAUAUAAGAGAUUUUUUACAAAAACAGAAAUUAAACAAAGAAAAACAUAAAAAUAAAAAUUAUGUAGUAAACAAUAGUACUACAGGAGAGGCCACAAAAGAAGAAAUUAACAAAAGGAGCUGGAACGUUCUGAGUUCUGACAGAAAAAGCCACGAGAAAACCGUCGAUGUUGCCACGAGUGAACCGCGAUUCGAACCCAGCCUUUAACAUAUAAUUAGGAUCGAGUUAGAGAAGGUUAAAGAUGACAAAAAGAGAGUUUGAAAUCAAUUUUUGGACUGAUUAAAAUAGAUAAACAUAAAAAUAAAACAAAGAAAAACAUAAAACUAAAAACUGCAGAAACAACAGUACUGCAGAAGGCCACAAAAGAUGAAAUUAACGACAGGAGCUAGCAUGUUCUGACGAAAGAAGACACGAGAAAACCGUCGAUGUUGCCACAAGUGAACUGCGACCUGAACCUACCUUUUAACAUAUCAUUAGCAUCGAGUUAGAGAAGGUAAAAGAUGACAAAAAGAGAGUUCGAAAUCAAUUUUUGGACUGUUAAAAUAGAUAAACGAAACAAAAAAUUUCACCCAAACUGACAUUAAUUGAAUGGAUCUUUCGAUCUUAAACUUGAAUUACACUCUUAAAUAUUUUGUUUUGGUAAAAUGUAAAAAUUUAUACUAGAUUUCAUAUUUUUUACAAAAAUGGAAAUAAAACAAAGAGAAAAAUAAAACUAAAAACUAUGCAGCAAACAACAGUACUGUAGAAGGCCACAAAAGAUAAAAUUAACGAAAGGAGCUCGAAAUUCCUGAUGGAAGAAGACACGAGAAAACCGUCGACGUUGCCACGAGUGAACUGCGAUCAGAACCCAGCCCUUAACAUAUCAUUAAGAUCGAGUUAGAGAAGGUGAAAGAUGACAAAAAGAGAGUUUGAAAUCAUUUUUUGGAAUGUUUAAAAUAGAUAAACAAAACAAAAAAAGUUCAACUAAACUGAUAUUAAUUGAAUGGAUCUCUCGAUCUUAAAAUUGAAUUACACUCUUCACUUUUUUUUUGUUUUGGUAAAACAUAAAGAAUUUAUACUAGAUUUUAGAUUUUUUACAGACACAAAAGUAAACGAAGAGAAACAUAAAACUAAAAAAAACUAGGCAGCAAACAACAGUACUCGAGAAGACCACAAAAGAUAAAAUUAACCAAAGGAGCUAGAACGUUCUGAGGGAAGAUGACACGAGAAAAUCGUCGAUGUUGCCACGAGUAAACUGCUAUCCUAUCGUAGCCUUUAACAUAUCAUUAGGAUUGAGUUACAGAAGGUAAAAGAUGACAAAAAAGAGUUUGAAAUCAAUGUUUGGACUGUUUAAAAAUCGAUAAACAAAAAAUAAAAGUUCACCCAAACUGAAAUUAAUUGAAUUGAUUUCUCGAUCUUAAAAUUGAAUUACACUCUUAACUUUUUUGUUUUGGUAAAAUAUAAAAAUUUAUACUAGAUUUAAGAUUUUAUACAAAAAACGGAAAUAAAAUAAAGAGAAACACAAAAGCAAAACCAUGCAGCAAACAAUAGUACUGUAGAAGGCCGUAAAGGAUGAAAUUAACGAAAUGAGCUAGAAAGCUCUGACGGAAGAAAACACUAGAAAACCGUUGAUGUUGCCACGAGUUAACCGCGAUCCGAACUUACCCUUUCAAAUAUCAUUAGAAUCGAGUUAGAGAAGGUAAAAGAUGACAAAAAGAGAGUUUGAAAUCAAUUAUUGGACUGUUUAAAUAGAGAAACAAAAUAAAACAUUUCACCCAAACUAAUAUUAAUUGAAUGAGUCUCUCGAUCUUAAAAUUGAAUUACACUGUUAACUUUUUUUUGUUUUGGUAAAAUGUAAAAAUUUAUAAUAGAUUUUUGACUUUUUACAAACGCGGAACUAAAAAAGAGAAACAUAAAUCUAAAAACUAUGCAGCCCUGCAAAAGGCCACAAAAUAUGAAAUGAACGAAAAUAGCUAGAACGUUAUGACAGAAGAAGAGAAGCAAAAACCGUUGAUGUUUUCACGAGUGAACCGCGAUCCGAAGUUAGCCUUUAAAAUAUCAUUAAGAUCGAGUUAGAGAAGGUAAUAGAUGACAAAAAGAGAGUUUGAAAUCUUUUAUUGGACUGUUUAAAAUAAAGAAACAGAGCAAAACAUUUCACGAAACUGAUAUUACCUGAAUGAAUAUCUCGAUCUUAAAAUUGAAUUACAAUCUUAACUUUUUUUUAUUUUGGUAAAAUGUAGAAAAAUUAUAUCAUAGAUGUUUUACAAAACCGGAAAUAAAACAUACAAAAACAUUAUAAAAAAAAACCAGGAAGCAAACAACAGUACUGCAAAAGGCCAGAAAAGAUAAAAUUAACGAAAAUUGCUCGAAAUUCCUGAUGGAAGAUGACACGAGAAAACCUUUGAUGUUGCCACGAGUGAACCGCGAUCAUAACCCAACCCUUAACAUAUCAUUAAGAUCGAGCUAGAGAAGAUAAAAGAUGACAAAAAAAAAAAGAGUUUGAAAUCAAUUUUUGGAAUGUUUAAAAUAGAUAAACAAAACAAAAAAAGUUCAGCUAAACUGAUAUUAAUCGAAUGGAUCUCUCGAUCUUAAAAUUGAAUUACACUCUUAACUUUUUUUUUGUUUUUGGUAAAAUAUAAAAAUUUAUACAAGAUUUUUGAUUUUUUACAAACACGAAAACAAAACGAAGAGAAAUAUAAAACUAAAAAAAAACUAAGCAGCAAAAACCAAUAUUCGAGAAGACCAUGAAAGAUAAAAUUAACCAAAGGAGCAAGAACGUUCUGGCGGAAGAAGACACGAGAAAACCGUCGAUGUUGCCACGAGUAAAUUGCUAUCCUAUCGUAGCUUUUAACAUAUCAUUAGGAUUGAGUUAGAGAAGGUAAAAGAUGACAAAAAGAGAGUUUGAAAUCAAUGUUUGGACUGUUUAAAAUCGAUAAACAAAAAAGAAAAGUUCACCCAAACUAACAUUAAUUGAAUUGAUCUCUCGAUCUUAAAAUUGAAUAACACUUUUAACUUUUUUGUUUUGGUAAAAUAUAAAUAUUUAUACUAGAUUUAAUAUUUUAUACAAAAACAGAAAUAAAAUAAAGAGAAACAUAAAACGAAAACCUAUGCAGCAAACA
rnacentral:lncRNA from 1 species